ensembl:lncRNA
ACAAUUUACAGUAAUCUUAGUACUACUUAUAAAAAUAGUGAUAAUUACAACAAUAAUAGUAGUUACCAAAAUAAAACCAUAUACAAUAAUAGUACAAAAACUAAUAUUGAAAAAACUGAUAUAAUAUAUAAAACAAAUUCGGAUAUACAUAAAUGUAAUAAUGUUAAUGAUAAAAUAUCUUAUAACCAUAUGUUAAAUAAGGAUAUAAAACAGAAUAUUAAUCCGGUAGUAAGAUAUGGUAUGAUACAACCAAAUAAUAUAUAUAGGAAAUUACCAAUAAGUUCAAUAGAACAAAUAAAUAUUAGAAGAGAUAAUAAUUUUAGUAAUAUUAUUGGUACGAAUAAUAUCGGAUAUAACAGUAGUGUUAUUAUUGAUAAUAAUAAUAAUAAUAAUAAUAAUAUUAAUAAUAAUAUUAAUAAUAAUAUUAAUAAUAAUAUUAAUAAUAAUAUUAAUAAUAUUAAUAAUAAUAUUAAUAAUAUUAAUAAUAAUAAUAAUAAUAUUAAUAAUAAUAAUAAUAAUAGAAUAGCCGUUAAAAAUUGUAAUGAAUUGAAUGUAAUUACAAAUGGAAAUGGAAAUGGAAAUGGAAAUGGAAAUGGAAAUGGAAAUGGGAAUGGAAAUGGGAAUGGAAAUGGAAAUGGAAAUGGAAAUGGAAAUGGAAAUGGAAAUGGAAAUAAUAUACCUCCACACUACUUUAAUAAUAAUAAUAAUAAUUAUAAUUAUAAUUAUAAUAGUAAUAGUAAUAAUAAUAAUAAUAAUAAUAGUAGUAGUAGUAGUAGUAGUAAUAAUUUACUACCACAAACUGUUAUAAAUAAAAAUAACGAACAUACUAACCCAUUGAAUUUAUUUAAUAAGAACUACAAUAUUAUGGCUACUAAGAACGAACAACCAGGUGUACCAAAUUUUAUUUAUAACAAUCGUACUACUACAGGUCCUACAAAUGUUUAUAUCACUUCAAAUAAUAAUAGUAAUAUAAACGAAAAUAAUAAUAUUAAUAAUUCUCAGUACAAUUAUACAACUAAACAAAUAAAUAGUAAUAAUUAUGAGGCAGAUUAUAUUUUUAAAAAUAAUUUAAAAGAUAAAAUGUAUAUGACUUAUGAAUUAAACCAUAAAGAUAAAAAAAUAUGUAACAACAACAAAACAAUAAAAAAUGACACUAUUAACAAUGAGCAAAAUAAUAAUAAUAUAAUUUAUAAAAACGAAUAUAAAACUGAAAUAACAUUUGAGCGAAGAAAAGGACAAAACAUCGAGCCUAGGAGUGAAUACAAGCAGAGAAAUGAUACGGAAAAAAUCAAUAUAAAUAGGUGCAUGUAUGGCUGCAUACAUAACUGCAUACAUAGCGUUAUGAAUAGAGGCAUGAGUAGCGGUAUAAGUAGCGGUAUAAAUAGUGGUAUAAAUAGAGACAUAAGUAGCGAUAUAGGUAACGGUAUAAAUAGCGACAUAAAUAGUGGUAUAAAUAGAGACAUAAGUAGCGAUAUAGGUAACGGUAUAAAUAGCGAUAUAAAUAGCAUCAUGAACGAAGUUAUAAAUAGUAUUAUGAAUAAUACUACAAAUAUUACACCCACCCAAUGUAAUAAUAAAAAAGAAAAAAAAGUUCUUAACAACGAUAAAAAAAAAAGAAAAGCAAAAAAAAAAAAAACACUUGAUUAUUAUUAUAGAAAAACAUUAAAAUUUACAAAUGAAGCAUUUAAUAAUGAAAGUUUGAAAAAUAAUAAUAUAGAUGGUUUAACAAGAAGAGAUUUUUUAGAAAAGUUGCCAUUUUUUAAAUUAACAAAUUUUGAAAAAAAAAUAGCUGACCGGCGUAAAAGAGUAAUAGAUACUUUUAAUGAAGAUAAAAAACAAAUUUAUUCAAAUAAUAUGGAUUGUGAUAGACAAUUUUCACAUAUAUUUAUUGAUAAUGAAAAAUUUUAUGAUGCUAAAGAAAUAUUAGCUUAUUUAUUGCCAUAUCAUACAUAUUACCUCGAUCACAUAAACAUUGACACAACACAUGAGAAUGACGAUUUAUUGAAAAUAGCUGAAAUGGAUACUGACAUAAUUGGAGAAAAACUAUCUGCAUUAAGAGACUCCUUCCACACGCUCACAAACCCAUCAGUGAUAUGGAGUUUUAAUAAAAUUAUGGACAGAGUAUAUGAUGAAUUUAAAAAAAGGAACAACAUCGAAUAAUUUUAGUAUAUAAUAAUUAGAUUAGGCAGUACAAGUUUACAAAUAAACUUUUUAUAGAAACCCUAAUUCUAUAUAGA